rnacentral:tRNA from 1 species
GCCUGGAUGGCUCAGUCAGUUGAGCAUCCACCUUGGGCUCAGGUCAUGAUCUCACAGUUGGUGGGUUCAAGCCCCACUUCUGGCU